rnacentral:rRNA from 1 species
AGUGAACGCUGGCGGUAGGCCUAACACAUGCAAGUCGAACGGCAGCACAGUAAGAGCUUGCUCUUACGGGUGGCGAGUGGCGGACGGGUGAGGAAUACAUCGGAAUCUACUUUUUCGGGGGGGAUAAUGUAGGGAAACUUACGCUAAUACCGCAUACGACCUACGGGUGAAAGCAGGGGAUCUUCGGACCUUGCGCGAUUGAAUGAGCCGAUGUCGGAUUAGCUAGUUGGCGGGGUAAAGGCCCACCAAGGCGACGAUCCGUAGCUGGUCUGAGAGGAUGAUCAGCCACACUGGAACUGGGACACGGUCCAGACUCCUACGGGAGGCAGCAGUGGGGAAUAUUGGACAAUGGGCGCAAGCCUGAUCCAGCCAUACCGCGUGGGUGAAGAAGGCCUUCGGGUUGUAAAGCCCUUUUGUUGGGAAAGAAAAGCAGCAGGUUAAUACCCCGCUGUUCUGACGGUACCCAAAGAAUAAGCACCGGCUAACUUCGUG